GAUGAACGCUGGCGGCGUGCCUAAUACAUGCAAGUCGAGCGAACAGACGAGGAGCUUGCUCCUCUGACGUUAGCGGCGGACGGGUGAGUAACACGUGGAUAACCUACCUAUAAGACUGGGAUAACUUCGGGAAACCGGAGCUAAUACCGGAUAAUAUAUUGAACCGCAUGGUUCAAUAGUGAAAGACGGUUUUGCUGUCACUUAUAGAUGGAUCCGCGCUGCAUUAGCUAGUUGGUAAGGUAACGGCUUACCAAGGCAACGAUGCGUAGCCGACCUGAGAGGGUGAUCGGCCACACUGGAACUGAGACACGGUCCAGACUCCUACGGGAGGCAGCAGUAGGGAAUCUUCCGCAAUGGGCGAAAGCCUGACGGAGCAACGCCGCGUGAGUGAUGAAGGUCUUCGGAUCGUAAAACUCUGUUAUUGGGGAAGAACAAAUGUGUAAGUAACUGUGCACGUCUUGACGGUACCUAAUCAGAAAGCCACGGCUAACUACGUG
rnacentral:rRNA from 1 species